UCCCUUGUUGCUCAGCUGGUAAAGAACCUGCCUGCAAUGCAGGAGACCUGGGUUCGAUCCCUGGGUUGGGAA
rnacentral:tRNA from 1 species